UACGUAGGCAGCGAGCGUUGUUCGGAGUUACUGGGCGUAAAGGGUGUGUAGGCGGUUGUUUAAGUUUGGUGUGAAAUCUCCCGGCUCAACUGGGAGGGUGCGCCGAAUACUGAAUGACUAGAGUGCGGGAGAGGAAAGUGGAAUUCCUGGUGUAGCGGUGAAAUGCGUAGAUAUCGGGAGGAACACCAGUGGCGAAGGCGGUUGCCUGGGGCUUUGCUGACGCUGAGGCGCGAAAGCGUGGGGAGCGAUCCGG
rnacentral:rRNA from 1 species